rnacentral:rRNA from 1 species
GACGAACGCUGGCGGCGUGCUUAACACAUGCAAGUCGAACGAUGAAGCACCAGCUUGCUGGUGUGGAUUAGUGGCGAACGGGUGAGUAACACGUGAGUAACCUGCCCCUCACUCUGGGAUAAGCCUGGGAAACUGGGUCUAAUACUGGAUACGACCGAUCUCCCCAUGGAGUGUUGUUGGAAAGUUUUUGUGGUGGGGGAUGGAUUCGCGGCCUAUCAGCUUGUUGGUGGGUUAAUGGCCUACCAAGUCGACGACGGGUAGCCGGCCUGAGAGGGCGACCGGCCACACGGGGACUAAGACACGGCCCAGACGCCUACGGGAGGCAGCAGUGGGGAAUAUUGCACAAUGGGCGAAAGCCUGAUGCAGCGACGCCGCGUGAGGGAUGACGGCCUUCGGGUUGUAAACCUCUUUCACCAGGGACGAAGCUAACGUGACGGUACCUGGAGAAGAAGCACCGGCUAACUACGUG